GUUUGGAAUUGUAAAGCAUCAUCGAAAUUGCAGUUCUAAAACAUCUGGGGAUCUACCUGUUGCCCAACCCUAUUUUAUAUGGUUAAGCCAGGAAACUGCAUUUAAUACCACAUGCAAACAUCAAGUUAAAUAAUCUGAUGAAAUUUCCGAGAAGCACCUUCAGGCUAUUUACAAGUACCCAUAAGCAGGGUCAUUUUAGCCUAUUCAUUUUU